AAGAGUUUGAUCCUGGCUCAGAACGAACGCUGGCGGCGUGCUUAACACAUGCAAGUCGAACGUGAUUGAGAGCUUGCUCUCAUGAAAGUGGCGCACGGGUGAGUAACACGCGGAUAAUCUGCCUGGCGAUUCGGGAUAACACUUCGAAAGGGGUGCUAAUACCGAAUAAGCCAACGGAGUCCUUGGACUCAGCGGGAAAAGGGGGGGACCUUCGGGCCUUCUGUCUUCAGAUGAGUCUACGUACCAUUAGCUGGUUGGUGGGGUAAAGGCCUACCAAGGCGACGAUGGUUAGCUGGUCUGAGAGGAUGAUCAGCCACACUGGAACUGAGACACGGUCCAGACUCCUACGGGAGGCAGCAGUGAGGAAUAUUGCACAAUGGGCGAAAGCCUGAUGCAGAAACGCGGCGUUGCAGCUCUGUCAGUGGGGAAGAACCGCCGGGUGGUUAAUACCUGCCUGGUCUGACGGUACCCACAAAGGAAGCACCGGCUAACUCCGUGCCAGCAGCCGCGGUAAUACGUAGGGGGCAAGCGUUGUUCGGAAUUAUUGGGCGUAAAGCGCGCGUAGGCGGCUGAUCAAGCCAGAGGUGAAAGGCAAUAGCUUAACUAUUGUGAGCCUUUGGAACUGGUCAGCUUGAGUGCAGGAGAGGAAAGCGGAAUUCCUAGUGUAGCGGUGAAAUCCGUAGAUAUUCGAAGGAACACCGGUGGCGAAGGCGGCUUCCUGGACUGUAAUUGACGCUGAGGCACGAAAGCGUGGGGAGCAAACAGGAUUAGAUACCCUGGUAGUCCACGCUGUAAACGAUGAAUACUAGGUGUUGCGGGUCAAAGCCCGGUGCCGCAGCUAACGCAUUAAGUAUUCCGCCUGGGGAGUACGGUCGCAAGACUGAAACUCAAAGGAAUUGACGGGGACCCGCACAAGCAGCGGAGCAUGUGGUUUAAUUCGAAGCAACGCGAAGAACCUUACCAGGUCUUGACAUCCCUCUGAAUGGCGCUUAGCAGCGCAGGUCUUUCGGGACAGAGGAGACAGGUGGUGCAUGGUUGUCGUCAGCUCGUGUCGUGAGAUGUUGGGUUAAGUCCCGCAACGAGCGCAACCCUUGCCUUUAGUUGCCAGCACGUAAAGGUGGGCACUCUAGAGGGACUGCCGGUGACAAACCGGAGGAAGGUGGGGAUGACGUCAAAUCAUCAUGGCCCUUAUGUCUAGGGCUACACACGUACUACAAUGGCCGGUACAACGAGAAGCGAAACCGCGAGGUGAAGCGGAUCCCAAAAAGCCGAUCCCAGUUCGGAUUGCAGGCUGAAACUCGCCUGCAUGAAGUUGGAGUUGCUAGUAAUCGCGAAUCAGCAUGCCGUGGUGAAUGCGUUCCCGGGUCUUGUACACACCGCCCGUCACACCAUGGAAGUUGGGGGGACCCGAAGCCAGUGGUCCAACCCGUAAGGGAGGAAGCUGUCGAAGGUGAAACCAAUGACUGGGGUGAAGUCGUAACAAGGUAACC
rnacentral:rRNA from 1 species